rnacentral:lncRNA from 1 species
UUCACAUGGUUCAGAUAAUUCCGUUUCUUUCAGCACUAUAAGCAAAACAUUGAUAUGUUUUCUUCCUUCAUUUCCCAAGCUGUGCAUUUUAUUUCUUCCAGCAGGACCAUGGGUAAGCAAAUCAUUCCAAAUUUAGCACAUUGGAAAUGUCUCAUGUUUAAAUCAUAGAUGUUUUUAUGGGUUGUGUGCCUUUUGCUAACUUUAUCUCCCACUUUGCUUCAGGUAAUAUCCUGAAUGAUGGCAGUUUCUUCUGCAUCCAGACUGGUGACUGUGUUCAACUCUCAGCAUGGCCAGUUGUUACCAUUUUAAUUCCCAUCUAUGGACAAUGA